CGGGACGGGUGAGUAACGCGUGGGUAACCUGCCUUAUACUGGGGGAUAACAGCCAGAAAUGGCUGCUAAUACCGCAUAAGCGCACAGGACCGCAUGGUUCGGUGUGAAAAACUCCGGUGGUAUAAGAUGGACCCGCGUUGGAUUAGCUGGUUGGCAGGGCAGCGGCCUACCAAGGCGACGAUCCAUAGCCGGCCUGAGAGGGUGAACGGCCACAUUGGGACUGAGACACGGCCCAGACUCCUACGGGAGGCAGCAUG
rnacentral:rRNA from 1 species